UACGGGGGGAGCAAGCGUUGUUCGGAUUUACUGGGCGUAAAGGGCGCGUAGGCGGUCAGCACAAGUCAGUUGUGAAAUCUCCGGGCUUAACUCGGAAAGGUCAACUGAUACUGUGCGACUAGAGUGCAGAAGGGGGCAACUGGAAUUCUCGGUGUAGCGGUGAAAUGCGUAGAUAUCGAGAGGAACACCUGCGGCGAAGCGGGUUGCUGGGCUGACACUGACGCUGAUGCGCGAAAGCCAGGGGAGCGAACGGGG
rnacentral:rRNA from 1 species